rnacentral:siRNA from 1 species
AAAGACUUGGUAUUUAAGAGAU